UCGUGAGACAGGUUAGUUUUACCCUACUGGUGUGCGAACGAACACGAACGCUAUCUUAACGGAAAUGCUGUGCAGUACGAGAGGAACCACAGCUUCGUGGGCUGUGCAGUACGAGAGGAACCACAGCUUCUCUCGUAUUGCAUCUGGCAAAUGCAGGCACCCAAUAGAUAGCUCGU
rnacentral:ncRNA from 1 species